rnacentral:rRNA from 1 species
UACGUAGGGGGCAAGCGUUGUUCGGAAUUACUGGGCGUAAAGGGCGCGUAGGCGGCAUGGCAAGUCAGGAGUGAAAGACCCGGGCUCAACUCGGGGAACGGCAUAGAUACUGCUGAUCUUGAGACAGUCAGAGGAUGAUGGAAUUCCCGGUGUAGCGGUGAAAUGCGUAGAGAUCGGGAGGAACAUCAGUGGCGAAGGCGGCCAUCUGGGACAACACUGACGCUGAGGCACGAAAGCGUGGGGAGCAAACAGG